UACGUAGGGUGCAAGCGUUAAUCGGAAUUACUGGGCGUAAAGCGCACGUAGGCGGCGACUCAAGUCAGAGGUGAAAGCCCGGGGCUCAACCCCGGAACUGCCUUUGAUACUGGGUAUCUUGAGUAUGGAAGAGGUAAGUGGAAUUGCGAGUGUAGAGGUGAAAUUCGUAGAUAUUCGCAGGAACACCAGUGGCGAAGGCGGCUUACUGGUCCAUAACUGACGCUGAGGUGCGAAAGCGUGGGGAGCAAACAGG
rnacentral:rRNA from 1 species